CCAUGUUAACAUGGCCAUUCCAGCCGAAAUGUGUUUGCUUGUAUGAGAACAUUUGUUUUAGAGAGUAGACGAAUAUUUGUAAAACAUGGCACCUGUGUCAUCUGUGACAAAACGGAUACAAAUGUACUAUUAAAUUAAAUAAAGGGAGAUACUUCAAUUAAAAAACGACGGCCGAUAGAGUUGUGGCGACCUUGACCUCGGAGAUAUUGACGUAAUUCUUUCGAGCGACACACCAUCCAAUGAUGGUGAACAAAUCGAGGGGUUAGAGCCAGAACGUGUGGUUGAAGUGGAGAUUUGAAGCUGAUUGUAGACAACACAAAGAGAAGCCAAUAACCACGUUAGCUAACUCUCAGUAGAGGACCAAAAUACAAGAUGCAAGGCAAAUACUAAAGCACCGAAGAUUUAACAGUAUGCAGUCGAUAAAAUUUUGAUCAACCUUCAACUUAGGUAAGUCUCGGUUAAUCUCUUAAUUUUGUUAUACAAAUUAUGUGACCCUCGAUUUGUGACCAGCUUUUACCUCUGCAUUCACAUUUAAACAACUGCUGUAGAGAAUCACUAUGCAUUUACAACAUAGGCAUCAAUUUACAUAACCUAAGUGACAAGGCGGUUCAGAAUAUAAUAAGUUAUAAGUAGUUUUUGGUCUAUCGAUGUGUUUAAAAGGAUGUUGUCCCUGGAGUGCGGAAUGUAAAGACUCCAGGAUCAUAAUUAACAAGGAUGUUAGUCAAUAUAUAUAAUAUGAAACCUAUUGGCAUUGCAUUUUGAAUGCGCUGAUGUUGAAUAUUAUGUUGAUAUUUAUAAAAUCUAUACAACCCAUGCGACCCUAAACCAUUCAGGCUAUAUUUCAUUUGACUAAGUUAAAGCAAUCAAAGCAUUUAUAGUGUUCAUAAGCUUUUUCUUAUAUUUAACAUGGUAACCUAAGUUUUGAAUACACUUUACUUAGAUUUCAUCUUUGUUGUGAUAUUGUGAUUAUACAAAUUCUUACCAAAUGUGAUCAACAUUUAGUCAUAAGGGUAGCUUCUACAGUUGUUACACCUUUAGCGUAACCUUUAACCUGUUGACCAGGUUUUUUAUAUCAA